GACGGACGCUGGCGGCGUGCCUAAUACAUGCAAGUAGAACGCUGAAGCUUGGUGCUUGCACCGAGCGGAUGAGUUGCGAACGGGUGAGUAACGCGUAGGUAACCUGCCUGGUAGCGGGGGAUAACUAUUGGAAACGAUAGCUAAUACCGCAUAAGAGUAGAUGUUGCAUGACAUUUGCUUAAAAGGUGCAAUUGCAUCACUACCAGAUGGACCUGCGUUGUAUUAGCUAGUUGGUGAGGUAACGGCUCACCAAGGCAACGAUACAUAGCCGACCUGAGAGGGUGAUCGGCCACACUGGGACUGAGACACGGCCCAGACUCCUACGGGAGGCAGCAGUAGGGAAUCUUCGGCAAUGGACGGAAGUCUGACCGAGCAACGCCGCGUGAGUGAAGAAGGUUUUCGGAUCGUAAAGCUCUGUUGUAAGAGAAGAACGAGUGUGAGAGUGGAAAGUUCACACUGUGACGGUAUCUUACCAGAAAGAGACGGCUAACUACGUG
rnacentral:rRNA from 1 species